rnacentral:misc_RNA from 1 species
UUUUUUUCCUAUUAUUAUGUUGAUAUUUUUUAUUUUUAAAAAAUGAUUUGUCAAUUGAAUUAUACAAAGGAAAUAAAAUGGGACUAUGGAUUUUUAACGAAGAAGUGUAAAGAUGCGGGUAUUGAAGAUAAAUUCGAUGCUCACCAGAUGCGUCUCCGGGCUAACUACGUCGGCGUGUUUCUUAUGCUGCAUUUGUUUUUCACAAUAUUGCAUUGCACUUUGUUAUUGACGACCUGUGUGUACCUGGAUUUAAUAUAUAUAGACGUUUUCUGCUAUGUAGCAUUGACCGCUGUCAUCAUUGCAGUAAUGUGGCCUAACAUAAAUGUGGAAUUUGUGAUGAGACAUAAAUUUAUGAUGUCCCUUACAUCGAUGAUUGCCGUGAUGGCUAUUGUUUCAGUUGAUCUGCUGCUUAAUUAUUUCCAUAAUCGAAAUAGUGAUUGGAUAUUGGAAACAAUCUUUGAUGUAUACAUUAUAUUAAUGAUUUAUAUGUUUUUCCCGAUUCCAUAUGUGCUUGCGACGAUGCUUGCGUUUUCUGUGACUAUAACGUAUAUAACUUACUUUGGAUUCUAUCUUGGCGUUGAGCACCGAAAAAAAAUGGGUUAUACGACACGUUUCAACCAAUUUAUUGUUGAGUUAUGCAACUAUAUUUGCCUAAAUAUGAUGGGUACCUAUUUUCGCGUAAUGCGCGAGAUAGUUGUGCGCGCCUCGCUCCUUGAUCGACAUCAGUAUGUAAUGGAGGAUACUACGUUAAGGAGCGCACGUGCGCAGGAAAGAGUAUUUUUGCAUAGCAUACUGCCACCGCAGAUAGCAGAGCCCAUUCAAGAUGAUAUUCGAAAGCGACUUGAAUCCAUGGAAAAGCAACACAAAAUGCCCUCUAUCAGGAGAACAUGUCGAAUUAUAUCCAUUCAAAUUCAUACAGACGUCACUAUUCUGUAUGCAGAUAUAGUUAACUACACCAUGUUAACCACAAAGUUACCCGUUAAGAGGCUUAUCGCUUUACUGCACGCUUUAUAUGCCAGAUUUGAUAAGGCUGCUUCCAAGUAUGCUGUGCAGCGAAUCAAAUUCUUAGGAGACUGCUACUAUUGUGUAGCGGGUCUUAUAAACCCAGAUCCUAACCAUGCCAAAUGCUGCGUGGAUUUAGGUCUUUGUAUGAUCGAUAGUAUUCGAGAAAUUCGAGACAAAGUAAAAAUUGACGUCGACAUGCGUGUGGGUGUGCAUUCGGGAGAAUUGUUUGCUGGUGUCCUAGGGGCAGCGAAACUACAAUAUGAUAUUUGGGGUACAGAUGUCUUAAUUGCGAAUCAAUUGGAAUCAACUGGUAUGCCUGGUCAAAUUCAUGUUAGCGAAAGAACUCUGCAAAUGACAGACGACAGGUACAAAGUAUAUCCUGGCACCGAUACAGCACGCAAAGAUCAUUUCCUUCGCAAGUUCAAUGUUGUCACAUUCCUUAUUACCGGUAUUGAUGAAAAUAAAACAAAUGAAUUUAAAUCUUUUGAGUAUCUUGGCUCAACAUGCUCUAUAAAAGAGACAAAUGACAAUGGGCUAUCUUUAGAUGAAGAAUUGAAAAAGAUGCCGCUUGGUCCCAAAGGACUUAAAGAAGUCGUGUAUGAAAUAUUUAAUUUUAAACACAAAAAAGAACAAAAAGGAAAGUCAACUACGGCCAAGUCAGAAAUUGGAAGUUUUUUAUUGCAUUUUCAUGAUUCCCGACUGGAAUAUAAGUAUAUCCACCAACCCGACUAUAUGUUGAAAUACAGUGUUCUUCUAGCCUGGUGCUGCGGUAUGACUCUUAUAUACGUACAACUAUUUUAUAACCAAAAAAAGGACAACUUCUCAGUUUAUGUGGAUAUAGUUCUUAUAAUUACGUUAUCCAUGCUGUUAUUUAUAACUUGGUAUAAGAAGAUCUGCCAUUGGCGCUAUUCCACAAUGUUACACACAUACUCACCUUUCACCUGCUUCUUAUUUAAAAUCGCUGAUAGUUUACAGCGCAGUCUCAUCAAUCGCAUCGGUAUAUAUAUGUACUUCAUUAUAUCUUACUUUUGUAUUAUUGCUCUUAUGCUGAAUGAUUGUGAUCGGGAUGAAUUCCAGUUAAUGCAUAUCGACAGCAUACAGUACAAGUACGAGCCUGAUUUUAUGAUGUGCUUCGCCCCGUGGACCCUGACGUGUAUGUUAUAUUUUUCAAGGAGCGACAGACGGAAUUCGAUAAUAAAAUCAAUUACAAAUGGAGUGUGGAGCUAAUAAAAAAACAGGAUGAUUCCCGUAUAGCUGCCCAAUCGAUAACAAUUUUAUUGCACAACAUUUUGCCAGCCCAUGUUGUCAAUGUCUACCUGACUUCGUUGGCCAAACACGAGCUUUAUUAUGAGAGCUACGAUAUGGUGGCUGUUAUGUUCGCUUCCCUCAAAAA